AUUGAACGCUGGCGGCAUGCCUAACACAUGCAAGUCGAACGGUAACAGGGGCUUCGGCCCGCUGACGAGUGGCGGACGGGUGAGUAACGCGUAGGAAUCUUCCCAGUAGCGGGGGAUAGCUCGGCGAAAGCCGGAUUAAUACCGCAUACGCCCCACGGGGGAAAGCAGGGGAUCGUGAGACCUUGCACUAUUGGAUGAGCCUACGUCUGAUUAGCUAGUUGGUAGGGUAAAAGCCUACCAAGGCGACGAUCAGUAGCUGGUCUGAGAGGACGAUCAGCCACACUGGGACUGAGACACGGCCCAGACUCCUACGGGAGGCAGCAGUGGGGAAUAUUGGACAAUGGGCGCAAGCCUGAUCCAGCAAUGCCGCGUGUGUGAAGAAGGCCUGCGGGUUGUAAAGCA
rnacentral:rRNA from 1 species